ACAUCUGUAAACACGUCACAUUUAAAUAGAUGGAAGAAGGGAAGCUUCACCCUGUACAUGAAUCUGUGAGACAGGACUACUCAUCGGGGACGGCUGUUUACUCAUUAUUUGGGUCAUGGCGGACCAGUGAAACAGAUGGACAAAUGGACAGUUUUGAAAGCUCGGACAGUACGCUCAGCUUGCACUCUUGCACUAAUGAUGACCCUCAGUAUCUGUCUGCGGGAGAAAAAGCUUGUCUCAUUUUCUUGGAGGAG